rnacentral:rRNA from 1 species
UACGUAGGGGGCAAGCGUUGUCCGGAAUCAUUGGGCGUGAAGCGCGUGUAGGCGGUCCGGUAAGUCCGCUGUGAAAGUCGGGGGCUCAACCCUCGGAUGCCGGUGGAUACUGUCGGGCUUGAGUACGGAAGAGGCGAGUGGAAUUCCUGGUGUAGCGGUGAAAUGCGCAGAUAUCAGGAGGAACACCAAUUGCGAAGGCAGCUCGCUGGGACGUUACUGACGCUGAGACGCGAAAGCGUGGGGAGCAAACAGG